GAUCCCGGCUUAGGAUGAACGCAGCGACAGGCUAACACAUGCAAGUCGGGGGCAGCAUAGAAGUAGCAAUACUUGGUGGCGACCGGCGCACGGGUGAGUAACGCGUAUGCAACCUACCUAUCAGGAGGGGAAUAACCCGGCGAAAGUCGGACUAAUACCGCAUAAAACAGGGGCACCGCAUGGUGAUAUUUGUUAAAGAAAUUCGCUGAUAGAUGGGCAUGCGUUCCAUUAGGUAGUUGGUGAGGUAACGGCUCACCAAGCCGACGAUGGAUAGGGGAACUGAGAGGUUGGUCCCCCACACUGGUACUGAGACACGGACCAGACUCCUACGGGAGGCAGCAGUGAGGAAUAUUGGUCAAUGGGCGGGAGCCUGAACCAGCCAAGUCGCGCGAAAAGGAAGAAGGAUCUAUGGUUCGCAAACUUCUUUUGCAGGGGAAUAAAGUGCAGGACGUGUCCUGUUUUGUAUGUACCCUGAGAAUAAGGAUCGGCUAACUCCGUGCCAGCAGCGGC
rnacentral:rRNA from 1 species